rnacentral:rRNA from 1 species
GAUGAACGCUAGCUACAGGCUUAACACAUGCAAGUCGAGGGGCAUCAUGGAGGCAGCUUGCUGUCUCUGAUGGCGACCGGCGAAUGGGUGAGUAACGCGUAUCCAACCUUCCCCUUAGUAGGGCAUAGCCCGGUGAAAAUCGGAUUAAUACCCUAUAUUCUUCACAGCGGACAUCUAACGUGAAGCAAAGAUUCAUCGCUAAGGGAUGGGGAUGCGUCUGAUUAGGUAGUCGGCGGGGUAACGGCCCACCGAGCCAUUGAUCAGUAGGGGUUCUGAGAGGAAGGUCCCCCACAUUGGAACUGAGACACGGUCCAAACUCC